CAGAGAUGAGCCAACUCCCAUUUCCUUCAGCAGUUUGCUCAUAAAGGGAUAGAGCAGUGCUGAGGGAAGGAGCAUGUGCUGCAGCCCUUCCUCUUCAGCCUCUCACCAUGGAUGGAGUUGCAGGAUGGCAGUCCUCCUGCUCUGUGGGGAUAGAGGCAGAGGCACAGCUGUGGUGGGCCACAGAAAGCAGGGCUGCACCACAGUACACAUAGUGUUUGAUGCCAGACACACAUCAUGAUGCCAUCCAUUCUGAAUGUGACAAUUUCUUUUACUACAGCUCUAUUGUGGAGGUGUACUAGCAACUGCUGUACAGGGGAUGCUCCUUUCAACCAAGGUCAAGUAAGUGACAUCAAUUGCCAGCAGCUGCUUUCUGCCCAAGUAGAAUUAGCUGUAAUGACUGAUGCAGUCACCUCCUUCAGUUGUCUGCCUCAUGCUGCUUUCCAAGGUUGCUGAAACUCUGGAAAUUAGGCAAAAUCUAUUUUCCUCCUUGCUUUUUGAUUUACUUUGGAGGUGAAAAGAAAGGUGCAUUGAUUAUUGCAGUCCUGCCUUGCCAAGUAAGUGCAGCAAUGAUGCAAAUUCUGCUGUAGUGUUCCAUGGCUCUUAGAAGAUCCAGUGCCCAAGUUUCCACAGUGACACAAGUGUGAACACCUUGCUCUCUAUAACACACCGAAGGACAUCUCAGCAGGCAAAACGAGCCACACACUCAUGGAACUUUGCCAUCAAAACAGUGACUCAGAGAAUGUGGCUCCUUCAGGGCUGCUCAUUAUCUCAAGAGGACAAGCUUCUACGGGAAAUUGUAUGAAAUUCGAUAUAUUAACGUCAACUUAAAAACAAGCAAAGAUAUCACAAAUCCUGUACAGACCUACCUCUGCUAUCACAGGAAAGACAGAAGUAAUUAUUGUAAUAAAUGCUAAAGGCUCACCACCACAUGGUAAAUUUUAGUAUCUAUGAAGCUGGUAACAAUAAGAUAUUUUAAAUCCCUAUUACAGUGAGUAGUACAAGAAAAUCCUUUCCUGUUAUUGGCACAUCAGGUUGUCUAAUGCAGAAGCAUAAAUUACAAAUAUGGAUUACAAUCUGAAGACUCUUAUUUUGAACAAUUGGGGCAAAAAAAAAUAUCAAAAACAAUUCAGAGAUUGUUAGACCCAUUAAAAUAAUCACAAUUGCUUUGUUCUGAUGCUGGGAAAUCCAAAGGAAAACCAAAGGAAAACCGGAACAUAAAACUGAGAAUACAA